AAUCAUAGCAUGGGGAAAAUUCCCUGACUUACACAGAAUGGCUAAGAUGAAGAACUGAGGGUCUCAUUCUGGAUCUGAAGUGAUGGCCGUGCCUCCUCCACAGGGAAGAAAACCUCUGAGCAGAGAAGCACACAGUCCAGCCUUAACAGGAUAGUGAAAAUUUUUGGUUGAAAAUGAAGACCUCAGCACCGUAUUGCUCUACUUUGCUCUCAGACAGCAGCAGGAUCUGCAGAGCCCCACAACAAAGUUUCUCAGUACUGACAUCUGGACAGCACACAGGGAGGCCACACACAGAGAGAUUUGAAGCAACUUUGCUCAUGGGAGAGGCUUCCCAUCCUGCCCUUUACUAUGCCCACCAGGAGGCUUCCCUUCAAGUUCCAGAUAAAAACUCAACCUGUCUUGAUUCAUCUGGACCCUCAUUUCAGCAUUUCAAAAUGAGGCUCCCUGCUCAUUUCCUGGAGCUGGUAAUGCUCUGCAUCCCUGCACUGUACCCCCCGUGUCCCGAUCAGGCGUGUGUGCAUGUUUACCUUGCCCGGAGUUCAGAGUGCUCUAAGACACUCACGACAAGUGGCGCCCGAAUUCAGGGACUCCGAAGGUCGCUUAGGAAGGUAAGUAUAAUUUUAUUACGGGGAAAUGGGACAAUCUGCUUCCU
ensembl:lincRNA